rnacentral:rRNA from 1 species
CAGUAGCCACGGGAAUACGAAGGGGGCUAGCGUUGUUCGGAAUUACUGGGCGUAAAGCGCACGUAGGCGGACAUUUAAGUCAGGGGUGAAAUCCCGGGGCUCAACCCCGGAACUGCCUUUGAUACUGGGUGUCUAGAGUAUGGAAGAGGUGAGUGGAAUUCCGAGUGUAGAGGUGAAAUUCGUAGAUAUUCGGAGGAACACCAGUGGCGAAGGCGGCUCACUGGACCAUUACUGACGCUGAGGUGCGAAAGCGUGGGGAGCAAACAGGAUUAGAUACCCCGGUAGUCCCUGUCUCUUAUAC